GCGUUGGCCCAAUUGAUUGAUGGUGCUUGCACCUGAUUGAUUUUGGUCGCCAACGAGUGGCGGACGGGUGAGUAACACGUAGGUAACCUGCCCAGAAGCGGGGGACAACAUUUGGAAACAGAUGCUAAUACCGCAUAACAGCGUUGUUCGCAUGAACAACGCUUAAAAGAUGGCUUCUCGCUAUCACUUCUGGAUGGACCUGCGGUGCAUUAGCUUGUUGGUGGGGUAACGGCCUACCAAGGCGAUGAUGCAUAGCCGAGUUGAGAGACUGAUCGGCCACAAUGGGACUGAGACACGGCCCAUACUCCUACGGGAGGCAGCAGUAGGGAAUCUUCCACAAUGGGCGCAAGCCUGAUGGAGCAACACCGCGUGAGUGAAGAAGGGUUUCGGCUCGUAAAGCUCUGUUGUUAAAGAAGAACACGUAUGAGAGUAACUGUUCAUACGUUGACGGUAUUUAACCAGAAAGUCACGGCUAACUACGUGCCAGCAGCCGCGGUAAUACGUAGGUGGCAAGCGUUAUCCGGAUUUAUUGGGCGUAAAGAGAGUGCAGGCGGUUUUCUAAGUCUGAUGUGAAAGCCUUCGGCUUAACCGGAGAAGUGCAUCGGAAACUGGAUAACUUGAGUGCAGAAGAGGGUAGUGGAACUCCAUGUGUAGCGGUGGAAUGCGUAGAUAUAUGGAAGAACACCAGUGGCGAAGGCGGCUACCUGGUCUGCAACUGACGCUGAGACUCGAAAGCAUGGGUAGCGAACAGGAUUAGAUACCCUGGUAGUCCAUGCCGUAAACGAUGAGUGCUAGGUGUUGGAGGGUUUCCGCCCUUCAGUGCCGGAGCUAACGCAUUAAGCACUCCGCCUGGGGAGUACGACCGCAAGGUUGAAACUCAAAGGAAUUGACGGGGGCCCGCACAAGCGGUGGAGCAUGUGGUUUAAUUCGAAGCUACGCGAAGAACCUUACCAGGUCUUGACAUCUUGCGCCAACCCUAGAGAUAGGGCGUUUCCUUCGGGAACGCAAUGACAGGUGGUGCAUGGUCGUCGUCAGCUCGUGUCGUGAGAUGUUGGGUUAAGUCCCGCAACGAGCGCAACCCUUGUUACUAGUUGCCAGCAUUAAGUUGGGCACUCUAGUGAGACUGCCGGUGACAAACCGGAGGAAGGUGGGGACGACGUCAGAUCAUCAUGCCCCUUAUGACCUGGGCUACACACGUGCUACAAUGGACGGUACAACGAGUCGCGAACUCGCGAGGGCAAGCAAAUCUCUUAAAACCGUUCUCAGUUCGGACUGCAGGCUGCAACUCGCCUGCACGAAGUCGGAAUCGCUAGUAAUCGCGGAUCAGCAUGCCGCGGUGAAUACGUUCCCGGGCCUUGUACACACCGCCCGUCACACCAUGAGAGUUUGUAACACCCAAAGUCGGUGGGGUAACCUUUAGGAGCCAGCCGCCUAA
rnacentral:rRNA from 1 species